CGAGCGCUGAGUAGGUACGUAUUUCUUGCACUCUGCCGCCCGCUGAUAAUAAAUAUUUAAACGUUUGGGACGAUGAUCGCGCUGGAUGGAGGAGGGCUCGCGCGCGGCUCUCACAGAAACAACAACACUCUGCCGUACCUCAACUCGACGUUGCUGUAUGUCCGGUCCAAUAAUAACAAUGGCGUAUCAGACGUCGCUCCCAAACCGGUCGACAUCCAUCUGCAUAACUGUGAGUUGAAAACGUCUAUAUUUAAAAAUUGUUAUAGUAUAAUAUUUAUCUAAUAAAUUAAUUUUCUUUAGCAUUCCGCAAGAAUGAGCGGUAUAGUUUGAAAACUUACCAAAGUUAUCUGGUGGAUGUCGAUACGUUGGUGAGCAGCCGUCGCACAUAGGUCUGAUGUAACUAUGGAAAGUUAUUAUUGGAUCGGUCAUAAUAUUACGUUGAUAAGUUAUCUGUCCAUAAACUUAUUUUCAGAUUUGUAGGCCAAUUCCGUUGCCAUUUUUUAAUCAUUCUUUGUUUUUAUUAAGGUUGAGGUGUAACAGCAUUUUAGGGGCUAUUGUAAUUCCCACUUCCAGGACUUUAUCAUACAUACAGCCGACAGCCCGAUGACCUACAUUUUUGUGUAUUCUGGUCUACCCUAUGAUGGCCGCGAAGUCACGAUCACGUCACCGUUUAUCAGAUUGCCCAGUUUGAAAGAGUCUCCAACAAUUUCAUCGGAUAGGUACGCCAUAAACCGUGGCAUAGCGCUGGGCCAGCAUCAUUUUGUCCGAAUCAAUAUCUACAAAAAUGACGUCCCAAUUAUUAAAAGCUAAUAAUAUAGUGUCUUUGUCGAACAGUCAGCUGUACGAAGUUUCCGCUGUACCACAAAACGGGUCGACGUCGGUCGCUGAACAUGGGAAGUCCUCAAGUCCACCCAGCAUCGUAUUGAUGAAUCAACAAUACAUCUUACAUCUUACAUCUAACAUCUUACAUCUUACAUCUAUCAUUGCAAUCUUAUAAUUAUUCACCUGAAUGCAUGUAAUCCUGAAUGUACAGUUAAUUUAUUACUACCCAUUUACAAA